rnacentral:rRNA from 1 species
UAGCCGUAAACGAUACUCGCUAGGUGUCGGCCACGGUGCGACCGUUGUCGGUGCCGUAGGGAAGCCGUGAAGCGAGCCACCUGGGAAGUACGGCCGCAAGGCUGAAACUUAAAGGAAUUGGCGGGGGAGCACCACAACGGGUGGAGCUUGCGGUUUAAUUGGAUUCAACGCCGGGAAGCUUACCGGAUAAGACAGCGGAAUGAUUGCCGGGCUGAAGACCCUGCAUGACCAGCUGAGAGGAGGUGCAUGGCGUAGUCGUGU